rnacentral:rRNA from 1 species
GAAGUUGACGGGGCCCGCGACAAGCGGUGGAGUAUGUGGUUUAAUUCGAUGCAACGCGAAGAACCUUACCUGGUCUUGACAUCCCGGAGACCCUUAGGAAACUAGGGGGUGCUUCCAUCUGGAAGAAUCUGGAGACAGGUGCUGCAUGGCUGUCGUCAGCUCGUGUCGUGAGAUGUUGGGUUAAGUCCCGCAACGAGCGCAACCCUUGCCUUUAGUUGCCAGCAGUUCGGCUGGGCACUCUAAAGGGACUGCCGGUGUUAAACCGGAGGAAGGUGGGGAUGACGUCAAGUCCUCAUGGCCUUUAUGACCAGGGCUACACACGUACUACAAUGGCCGAUACAAAGGGCAGCGACACUGCGAGGUGAAGCCAAUCCCGUAAAAUCGGUCUCAGUCCGGAUUGGAGUCUGCAACUCGACUCCAUGAAGUUGGAAUCGCUAGUAAUCGUGGAUCAGCAUGCCACGGUGAAUACGUUCCCGGGCCUU